GGAGCCAGCAGCCACGGUAAUUCCAGCUCCAAUAUCUUAUAUUAAACUUGUUGCAGUUAAAAAGCUCGUAGUUGUAUUUUUGCGUUAGCGGUUUGACCAUUUGGUUGGUUAUUUCGUUUUCGCUUUUGGGAAUUUCCCUUUUUACUUUGAGAAAAUUAGAAUGUUUCAAGCAGACUUUUGUCUUGAAUACUUCAGCAUGGAAUAAUAGAGUAGGACUUUGGUUCUUUUUUGUUGGUUAUUGAACCUUAGUAAUGGUUAAUAAGAACCGUUGGGGGCAUUCGUAUUUAACUGUCAGAGGUGAAACUCUUAGA
rnacentral:rRNA from 1 species